CCCUUAGAUGUUCUGAACCGCACGCGUGUUACAAUGAUGUGUUCAACGAGCAUAUAACCUUGGCCGAGAGGCCUGGGCAAUCUUUUUAAUGCACAUCGUGUUAGGGAUAGAUUAUUGCAAUUAUUAAUCUUGAACGAGGAAUUCCUAGUAAACGCAGAUCAUCAAUCUGCAUUGAUUACGUCCCUGCCCUUUGUACACACCGCCCGUCGCUACUACCGAUUGGAUGGUGUAAUGAGAUCUUCGGAUUGGAGCCGUCGUGGCCGGCAACGGUCGUGUCGGAGGCCGAGAAGCUGCUCUAAUUUCAUCAUCUAGAGGAAGUAAAAGUCGUAACA
rnacentral:rRNA from 1 species